GAAAUGAUGAAGAGGGAAGAUAAUGUCUUCAGCAGCUGGAUGUGUGUUGGGUCAUGGCGAGGGGGAAUUUUUCUUGGAAUUGCAUCAAUGAAAA
rnacentral:lncRNA from 11 species